UAGGACAACCGGGACGGACAGG
rnacentral:miRNA from 1 species